UGCCAGUGAUGUAGAGUGAAUACAGUAGGAAAACAUUCCUGUUCUCAUGCAGCUGACAUUGUAGUAGAGGGAGACAGGACAAAAGUAAAUACAUACAAUGUACGGAAAGAAGGCUAUGAAAAAAGUUAAGGGAGAUGCUAUAACGAAGUGGCCACGAACAUUCAUAUGAAACUGCCAAACAGUGUUCCAGAGUGCUUGUGCCAUUUUAUAUUCUCAUCAGCAGUUUACAGAAUUUCCAGUUCUCCACAUGCUCACCAAUAUUUGGCGUCAUGGCUAAGAAAUGUUUGCCUAAGCUUUGCACAGGUGUGAAAGGAAACACGAAAGAUCUUUCUUCCUCAUCCCAAGAAGCAGCACCUACCACCAUUCUCAACAAGAAAUAUCUAUGUUAUGGUCACCGACAAGAGUUUACCACCUCGCAACGUCGUGUUGUUACUGAAUUGUUUAUUGUCAGUCUCCCCAGUGUGCACGUUGGCUCCAAGACUGAGACUUCCUCUCUCUUUUCGUCUCUCUAUCUUGGGAAUCUAGAAGGGUGCCUAGCACAUUUGUUGAAUGAAUGAAUAAAGGAAUGAGUUUUUCAAAUGUCGAUUAUGUAAUAUCUCAUUUUUCUCCUCUUUUGAAUAAGGGAAAUAACAUCUCUCUUACAAGAAUAUUGUGAAGAUUAGGUGAUAAAAGAUAGGAAUAUUCCCAACCUCAUUAUUAGAAAAAUAUUGGUUCCAUUUUCUCUCCUCUAAAGAGUGGUUCUCCA
rnacentral:lncRNA from 1 species